rnacentral:rRNA from 1 species
GUAGGUGGCAAGCGUUGUCCGGGAAUUAUUGGGGCGUAAAAGCGCGCGCAGGCGGUUCUUUAAGUCUGAUGUGAUAGCCCACGGGCUCAACCGUGGAGGGCCAUUGGAAACUGGAGAACUUGAGUACAGAUGAGGAAAGCGGAAUUCCACGUGUAGCGGUGAAAUGCGUAGAGAUGUGGAGGAACACCAGUGGCGAAGGCGGCUUUCUGGUCUGUAACUGACGCUGAGGCGCGAAAGCGUGGGGAGCAAACAGGAUUAGAUACCCUGGUAGUCCACGCCGUAAACGAUGAGUGCUAAGUGUUAGGGGGUUUCCGCCCCUUAGUGCUGCAGCUAACGCAUUAAGCACUCCGCCUGGGGAGUACGGCCGCAAAGGCUG